UUAAGAACGAGUUUUGUCUUGGCUCAGAUCAUUCCCUGUUCAGUGAUCUCAACACAUGCAAGUCAUUCGUGGACUUCGGUCUACGUUUGGCGUAUUGGCGAGGAAUAUGAGUAACCACUCUGCUACGUGCAGACAGUGCUGAUUUCGCAACAGAUAGUUGGUAAGGAAACGGCUUACCAAGUCUACGACGCGUAGGAGACCCUGAGAGGGGCAACUCCCGCAGUUGCUAUGAAAUACGCCACCGAGUGUAAUACUCGCAGCAGUGGAGAAUAUUAUACAAUGACGGUUUACUCCGUUGAUAUAGUCAACUGAAAUGAAUUCAUCGAUGGUGAAUUCACUUGACAUAGUAGAACGACGAUUUACUAUGUUAGUAGUACGGGCACACAGUGCUGCCAGCCGCCGCGGCCAUACCACGCGUACAAGGGAAUUUCGUCAUAAAUGUGCGCACAGGAUCUGUAGGCUGUCUUAACAAUGAGACUAGAAUUUAAAAGACGUGUCGAGUAACGUGCAUGAGUAGCGAUGAAAUGUUAUAAUCCGCACUGGACUACCAAUAGCGAAAGCACGACACGACUAAAUAUUGACGCUGAGAGAUGAAGCCGUGGGUCACGACCAGGAUUAGAUACCAUUGUUAGUCCACGGUGUCAACUAUGUAUACUAACAAUGUGUCACGCCGACAUGUUGUGCUGCUAACGCGUAAGUAUACCGCACCCAUAGUAUAGCCGCAAGGCCGAAACGGAAAAAACAAGGCGGCGCCGAGAACCGAGAGUGAACCAUGAUGUUUAAUGCGAUAAUCCACGCAGAACCUUACCUUUCCUUUCAUCUCUGCUUUUUAGCAGAUGACAGGUGUUGCAUGGCUGUCGUCAGUUCGUGCUGUCAGGCGUUAGGUUAAUUCCGCUAACGAACGCAAUCCCUGAUAUCAGUUACAUUCCUGGUAUUACGAGUCCGAUAUGGAUUCGUUUUUGGGGCGAAGUCAAGCCUUCAUGACCCUUAUGGAAAGGGCUACGGUCGUGGCGCAAGUGUUACUACAAUGAGAAGCAAUACCGCGAGGUGGAGCGAAUCUUAAACGGUAUCACAGUUCGAAUUGCACUCUGAAAUUCGAGUGCAUGAAGAAGGAAUUCUCAGUAAUCGUGUAUGAGAACGGCACGGUGAAUUAAAGACUCCGUGUGUACUAAUCGCUCGUCACUGACAGGUGGCAUCCUUAAUGUGAAGGGGGUUGAUCUUUUCGAAGACAAUGUCAAUAGCAUUGAGUUGCUGCUUGCCAGAAGUCGCAACACAGAAGCGGUACGGGAACGUGCUGCUGAUUGAUAUACCAA
rnacentral:rRNA from 1 species